GCGGCAGUAGCUCAGCUGGUAGAGCGCCACCUUGCCAUGGUGGAGGUCGCGGGUUCGACUCCCGUCUGCCGCU
rfam:Kocuria sp. SM24M-10 KSP00162, whole genome shotgun sequence.